UGCGGAGGGAUCAUUACACAAAUAUGAAGGCGGGCUGGAACCUCUCGGGGGUUACAGCCUUGCUGAAUUAUUCACCCUUGUCUUUUGCGUACUUCUUGUUUCCUUGGUGGGUUCGCCCACCACUAGGACAAACAUAAACCUUUUGUAAUUGCAAUCAGCGUCAGUAACAAAUUAAUAAUUACAACUUUCAACAACGGAUCUCUUGGUUCUGGCAUCGAUGAAGAACGCAGCGAAAUGCGAUAAGUAGUGUGAAUUGCAGAAUUCAGUGAAUCAUCGAAUCUUUGAACGCACAUUGCGCCCUUUGGUAUUCCAAAGGGCAUGCCUGUUCGAGCGUCAUUUGUACCCUCAAGCUUUGCUUGGUGUUGGGCGUCUUGUCUCUAGCUUUGCUGGAGACUCGCCUUAAAGUAAUUGGCAGCCGGCCUACUGGUUUCGGAGCGCAGCACAAGUCGCACUCUCUAUCAGCAAAGGUCUAGCAUCCAUUAAGCCUUUUUUUCAACUUUUGACCUCGGAUCAGGUAGGGAUACCCGCUGAACUUAAGCAUAUCAUAGGGGGGGGG
rnacentral:misc_RNA from 1 species